AGCGAACGCUGGCGGCAUGCCUAACACAUGCAAGUCGAGCGCUCCCAGCAAUGGGGGAGCGGCGGACGGGUGAGUAACGCGUAGGAACGUAUCCUGAGGUGGGGGAUAACCCUGGGAAACUAGGGCUAAUACCGCAUGAUGGCGAGAGCCCAAAGAUUUAUCGCCUUGGGAGCGGCCUGCGUCUGAUUAGCUUGUUGGUGGGGUAACGGCCUACCAAGGCGAUGAUCAGUAGCUGGUCUGAGAGGAUGAUCAGCCACACUGGGACUGAGACACGGCCCAGACUCCUACGGGAGGCAGCAGUAGGGAAUCUUCCGCAAUGGGCGAAAGCCUGACGGAGCAACGCCGCGUGAGUGAUGAAGGCCUCGGUUGUAAACUACUGUCUUCUGUGAGAACCAUCCUGUGCAGAGAAGACUCAGGACCUGACGGUAACAGAG
rnacentral:rRNA from 1 species